rnacentral:tRNA from 1 species
UAUAGCUCAAGUGGUAGAGCGCAUGCUCAGCAUGCACGAGGUUCUGGGUUCAAUCCCCAGUA